UGUUGGAUUACAUCUGAUGAUGACAUAGGUUGUAGUUCAAUACAUCUGGAGAUCAACAGGUUCAAGAAUGAGCAAGAAACAUUGUCAGACAGGAAGAAGUCAAAAGUAAGAGAUUUCCAGAUACGUGGUUAUUUUCUGACGUAUUUGUCAAAUGGACUUUCACCAUCAUAUUGUUGUACUAAAAGCAACGCUUAGCACUGUCCAAGAAGUAUGUAAUCCACAUAGUUUACAAUAUUGCAGAAAAUGAAAUGGAAUACUGGAUCUAAAGCACUUCAGGACUGAAGUUUUUCUUCAUGUCAGAAAC